GACUUGGUAGCUCAGCCGGUAGAGCAACUGACUCUUAAUCAGUGGGUCGAGAGUUCGAUCCUCUCCCAGGUCACCU
rnacentral:tRNA from 2 species